rnacentral:rRNA from 1 species
AACGAACGCUGGCGGCAUGCCUAACACAUGCAAGUCGAACGAGACCUUCGGGUCUAGUGGCGCAAGGGUGCGUAACGCGUGGGAACCUGCCCUUAGGUUCGGAAUAACUCCCCGAAAGGGGUGCUAAUACCGGAUAAUGUCUUCGGACCAAAGAUUUAUCGCCUUUGGAUGGGCCCGCGUUGGAUUAGCUAGUUGGUAGGGUAAAAGCCUACCAAGGCGACGAUCCAUAGCUGGUCUGAGAGGAUGAUCAGCCACACUGGGACUGAGACACGGCCCAGACUCCUACGGGAGGCAGCAGUGGGGAAUAUUGGACAAUGGGCGAAAGCCUAAUCCAGCAAUGCCGCGUGAGUGAUGAAGGCCUUAGGGUUGUAAAGCUCUUUUACCCGGGAUGAUAAUGACAGUACCGGGAGAAUAAGCUCCGGCUAACUCCGUG